GUUUGAUCCUGGCUCAGGAUGAACGCUAGCGACAGGCCUAACACAUGCAAGUCGAGGGGUAACAGGGGCUUCGGCCCGCUGACGACCGGCGCACGGGUGAGUAACGCGUAUGCAACCUGCCUGUAACAGCGGGAUACCUCCCUGAAAGGGGAAUUAACACCGCAUAACACCACGCUCUCGCAUGGGGACGGGGAAAAAUAUUUAUAGGUUACAGAUGGGCGUGCGUGACAUUAGUUAGUUGGUGAGGUAACGGCUCACCAAGACUGCGAUGUCUAGGGGUUCUGAGAGGAAGGUCCCCCACACUGGAACUGAGACACGGUCCAGACUCCUACGGGAGGCAGCAGUGAGGAAUAUUGGUCAAUGGACGCAAGUCUGAACCAGCCAUGUCGCGUGCAGGAUGACUGCCCUAUGGGUUGUAAACUGCUUUUAUAUUGGAAGAAUUGCGCUUACGAGUUAAGCGUUUGACGGUACAUUAUGAAUAAGGAUCGGCUAACUCCGUGCCAGCAGCCGCGGUAAUACGGAGGAUCCGAGCGUUAUCCGGAAUUAUUGGGUUUAAAGGGUGCGUAGGCGGCCAUUUAAGUCAGCGGUGAAAUUUUGCAGCUUAACUGUAACAGUGCCGUUGAUACUGUUUGGCUAGGAUUUGGUUGUAGUGUGCGGAAUGUGUGGUGUAGCGGUGAAAUGCUUAGACAUCACACAGAACACCGAUUGCGAAGGCAGCACACUAAGUCAUUAUUGACGCUGAGGCACGAAAGUGUGGGGAUCAAACAGGAUUAGAUACCCUGGUAGUCCACACUGUAAAACGAUGAUAACUCGCUGUCGGCGAACCACAGUCGGGGGCCAAGGGAAAGCAUUAAGUUAUCCACCUGGGGGAGUACGACCGCAAGGUUGAAACUCAAAGGAAUUGACGGGGGCCCCGCACAAGCGGAGGAACAUGUGGUUUAAUUCGAUGAUACGCGAGGAACCUUACCCGGGCUCGAACGGUGCAUGAAUAUACGAGAGAUUGUAUAGUCCUUCGGGACAUGUAUCGAGGUGCUGCAUGGUUGUCGUCAGCUCGUGCCGUGAGGUGUCGGCUUAAGUGCCAUAACGAGCGCAACCCUUGUCAUUAGUUGCCAUCAGGUCAAGCUGGGGACUUUAAUGAGACUGCCACCGUAAGGUGUGAGGAAGGGGGGGAUGACGUCAAAUCAGCACGGCCCUUAUGUCCGGGGCGACACACGUGUUACAAUGGGAGGUACAGAGGGCAGCUAUCCGGUGACGGAAUGCUAAUCUCCAAAACCUUUCUCAGUUCGGAUUGGAGUCUGCAACUCGACUCCAUGAAGGUGGAUUCGCUAGUAAUCGCGCAUCAGCCAUGGCGCGGUGAAUACGUUCCCGGGCCUUGUACUCACCGCCCGUCA
rnacentral:rRNA from 1 species